rnacentral:tRNA from 1 species
ACCCGGCUGGCUCAGUCGGAGGAGCAUGAGACUCUUGAUCUCAGGGUCGUGAGUUUGAGCCCCACGUUGGGUA